CCCAAAUUAAGCUUUCUUCCAAAGAUUCAUGUGUACAAUAAUUGCAGGUUUUGAUCAGCCUAUUCAAAAUUCAAAAUUGUUGCUUCAUCCAAGGAUUAUUCUUCCCAACAAAUCUCCUUCAACUUAUCUGUAACCUUCUCCACUCCAACCAUCUCCAUCUCUCUUUCUCCACCUCUACUCACCGUGACUUGAUUUACCAUUUCUUGACUAUGUGUGUUCACCUCAGCUCAUAGGGAAUGGUUUUCUAAUUCAUGAUCACCAGUACACAUUCGAAAUGAUCUUCAAGGGACUGAGGGAGAAGUAAAGAAGAAUUUUUUUUACCUCUGUUGACUGUUGAGAAAAACCAGUGGAGUCGACAGAAGAAUUUUUUUACCUCUGUUACCAUGCUACCGGCGUAGCUGUCGCCGUCGCUGCCGCUGCGCUGCCGCCGUAGCUGAUGUAUCGCCGAUUAGGGUAGGGAGAGCCGAAGAGGGAGUCGUAUUUUGUCAAUAGGGAUUUUGAUUUCUGAGUUGGAAGGAGACGAUGGGCAAAUACAAUGGGUUGGACGGGCCGGAAAGUUUGAUUGAGUCGCCGGAAAUCUUCGAAUGGCGCCGCUGAGACGGCCGGAAAAAAGUUUGUUGUCUUCUACAUUUGCCUUCUUCUUCUUCUAAUUCUUGUCUUCUUCUGAAAUCAAAACAAAAACAAAUUUCUCGUGUUUUCUUCCAAUAAACACCAGCCAUUCCAAACGAGCUUCCCAACUUACUCCAACACCAUUUUCAAAGCUUCAAAAGAUGGAUGGAGAUAUUAAAGUCCCACUCUCU